GGCAACGGGGCGGGCGUGCUAUACAUGCAAGUCGAACGCUUUUUCUUUCACCGGAGCUUGCUCCACCGAAAGAAAAGGAGUGGCGAACGGGUGAGUAACACGUGGGUAACCUGCCCAUCAGAAGGGGAUAACACUUGGAAACAGGUGCUAAUACCGUAUAACAAUCGAAACCGCAUGGUUUCGGUUUGAAAGGCGCUUUUGCGUCACUGAUGGAUGGACCCGCGGUGCAUUAGCUAGUUGGUGAGGUAACGGCUCACCAAGGCAACGAUGCAUAGCCGACCUGAGAGGGUGAUCGGCCACAUUGGGACUGAGACACGGCCCAAACUCCUACGGGAGGCAGCAGUAGGGAAUCUUCGGCAAUGGACGCAAGUCUGACCGAGCAACGCCGCGUGAGUGAAGAAGGUUUUCGGAUCGUAAAACUCUGUUGUUAGAGAAGAACAAGGAUGAGAGUAGAAUGUUCAUCCCUUGACGGUAUCUAACCAGAAAGCCACGGCUAACUACGUGCCAGCAGCCGCGGUAAUACGUAGGUGGCAAGCGUUGUCCGGAUUUAUUGGGCGUAAAGCGAGCGCAGGCGGUUUCUUAAGUCUGAUGUGAAAGCCCCCGGCUCAACCGGGGAGGGUCAUUGGAAACUGGGAAACUUGAGUGCAGAAGAGGAGAGUGGAAUUCCAUGUGUAGCGGUGAAAUGCGUAGAUAUAUGGAGGAACACCAGUGGCGAAAGCGGCUCUCUGGUCUGUAACUGACGCUGAGGCUCGAAAGCGUGGGGAGCAAACAGGAUUAGAUACCCUGGUAGUCCACGCCGUAAACGAUGAGUGCUAAGUGUUGGAGGGUUUCCGCCCUUCAGUGCUGCAGCUAACGCAUUAAGCACUCCGCCUGGGGGAAGUACGACCGCAAGGUGGAACUCAAAGGAAUUGACGGGGGGUCCGCACAGCGGUGGAGCAUGGUGGUUUAGUUCUAGACAACGCGAGGAGCGUUACCAGGUCUUGACAUCCUUUGACCACUCUAGAGAUAAAGCUUCCCUUUCGGCGCCAAGGUGACAGGUGGUGCAUGGCUGUCGUCAGCUCAGUCUGAGAUGUUUGGAUAAGUUCGCACCGACGCACCUUAUUGGUUACUGACCAUCAUUAGCUGGAACUCUACGGACUGCCGGUGACAGCGAGAAGUGGGAUGACGCUGCAGUGAGUCA
rnacentral:rRNA from 1 species